rnacentral:lncRNA from 1 species
CCGGUACUAUAGUCUCGUUUUUGAUCUUAGGGUAUUUAAAUCAACGAUCCACACCGUUAAAACUAAUUUAGGAUAUUUAAAAUUUUUAGAAAUAAAAUAUUAUAUUUUUUUGUCAUAGUUUACUUUAUGAUCAAACCAUGUCAAAAUUAUCAAUUUUCAAUGACUAGUAUGGCGAGUUUGGAGUUUAACGGUGUAGAAGAAUCUAAAUUUCUUCAAAUUUUGAUAGAAAAUACUUUAAACUAUCUAAAUUAAGGUUAACAUUAUUGAUCUUGAAUUUAAAAGUCCUAUACUCAAAUUUUAAAGAUUAUUCAAUUUUCACUGUCCAUUUUGACAUAAUUUAUUUACUAAGUAAAUAAUGUCGAAAAAAACUAAAAUUUUAUUUCUAAGAACUUCAUAUACCCUAAAUUAUAUUUAACUGUUUUGAACACCAUAAGAUUGAAAACAAGGCUAUAGUACCAAAGCUCUGGUACUAUAGAUAGUAUAGUAGGCUAAUUCUAUAUAU